CCCAGACUCCUACGGGAGGCAGCAGUGAGGAAUAUUGGUCAAUGGACGCAAGUCUGAACCAGCCAAGUAGCGUGCAGGAUGACGGCCCUCCGGGUUGUAAACUGCUUUUAGUUGGGAAUAAAAGGGGGCUCGUGAGCCCCGUAUUGUAUGUACCAUCAGAAAAAGGACCGGCUAAUUCCGUGCCAGCAGCCGCGGUAAUACGGAAGGUCCGGGCGUUAUCCGGAUUUAUUGGGUUUAAAGGGAGCGUAGGCCGCAUGUUAAGCGUGCCGUGAAAUGCCGUGGCUCAACCAUGGCACUGCGGCGCGAACUGGCUUGCUUGAGUGCGCGGAACGUAUGCGGAAUUCGUGGUGUAGCGGUGAAAUGCAUAGAUAUCACGCAGAACUCCGAUUGCGAAGGCAGCAUACCGGCGCCCAACUGACGCUCAGGCACGAAAGCGUGGGUAUCGAACAGGAUUAGAUACCCUAGUA
rnacentral:rRNA from 1 species